CAGGUGCCAACUGUGAGAUCAACUGCUCCCUCUCACCCAUUUGCAAAGUCCCAAGUGGAAGAGGAGUCUUCGUUGCAGGAGAAUGUUUGCUACUGAUUCUUCCAACCAGUGCUCUGAUCUACAGCAGCUAUGGCUUUGCCAGUGUCCUGUUAAUUUAGUUACCACAGUAGGAAAAUAUCUCAGAAGAUAGCUCACUCAAAUUGCAAUAGCUGCAGGCAAGAGGGCUGCCAGCAGGGAGCUGCCUUACAUCUGGGCUUGAAAGAGCUCAAAGGUAAAGCACAUUGAAAUGCUACUUCCUGGAUUUGUCUCUGCUGCUUCCCUCCAUCCAAAGAGCCAUGUUUGAUGCCUGGUCAGCUUGAAAGAUGGUGCUUUUGUGCUAUAUGCUGAAACACAUGAUGUAACUGAUGGCCAGGAUAAGAGUCAGAUGCUCAGCAAGGGUAAAUUGCCAUGGCUUCAGUCAAUGACAUGUCUGCCUGGGACUUCCUCCCAGCAGGCUCUGAGUGAACAGCCUUCAGCACAAACAAAGAGCAUGUUGGAGCUGAAAGGAGACAGGGGACAAGGCAAAUAUCUCUGGGGCCUCUGAUUUGAAGCAUACGAUGGAGUUUAAGGUACAUUUGUAACCUUAUAAGACAUCACAGACACCAGGAUCCCAUGUUGUAAUGGCCUUGGGCCCUGGGACAUUGGGUCCCUGCCAGGGUUGGGCAGGGUGUCAAUGGGGGUUAAAGAAGCAGUGUCAGUCCACGAGGAUGGUCAAGAAUUGCCAUGAGCCAGACCAGCAGUCAGGACCCAGAUAUCCGGACUCUACCCUUUCAUCACGUUCACACCUUUCGGAAUUGGAUGUGACUCAGAAUUUAGGUGAGCUCCUGUAAUUGGGAUGUAUGUGGAUGGUUUAGUUGCUUUCUGUACCUACUGGAGAGCUGUGCCCAGAGGUGAGCCAGGGCCCUUUCUGUGAUCUUACUAAUGGCACGGAGAAUUGUUGCUCACUGCUGGGAGAAGCAGGGGUACUAAAUUAAACUUACAGCUGAAACAGAGCCAUGAAAAGGAUGUGGUUCUUUGAAUAUGUGGUUCACGUGUGAAAAUCUUUGCUGCAGAUGUAGGUGCUAUAUGCUUGCUCACAUAGGCUUCAGAGGGCUCUGGACUCUGAGGUUUAGAGAAGGGAAACCCAGAGAGGCUUACAGAGACAUCAACAAUGGCUUGUGAAAAUCCAGUUGCAGUGUGUUGGAGGGAAUUUUCAAGAUUUUUUGGAUAUUCCAGAUAUACAUUUUAUAUUUGGUCUCUUAAGAAAAAGCACCUUCCAAGUAAUUUCUUCCCUUCAGUGAUGGACUAAAGGAUCCUGGCUAGGUUACAUCCUCUGAUGUAACCAAGGAUAGCUGACCAUAAUUUCUUAUGGCAACUUGAUAUGUAACUAUCACAUCGGAAUUUUUGACAUGAGCUGAAGUUUAGUGUAAAAGAUGACACUGUUGGGUUUAUCUGGGUGAAAGCUUCAACUGCAAUUUCUGAAUAUGGACUACAAAAAUCUGCUCCAAAUAUAAAAUCCCACCUGUAAAUGCAUUAAAAUUCUGAGCCAGAA